CCUACGGGUGGCUGCAGUGAGGAAUAUUGGUCAAUGGGCGGAAGCCUGAACCAGCCAAGUCGCGUGAGGGAGUAAGGCCCUACGGGUCGUAAACCUCUUUUGCCGGGGAGCAGUGCCCAGCUCGUGAGCUGGGAGGGAGCGUACCCAGAGAAAACGCAUCGGCUAACUCCUUCCCAGCAGCCACGGUAAUACGGGGGUUGCGAGCGUUAUCCGGUUUUAUUGGGUUUAAAGGGGUCGUAGGCGGGCCUUCAGGCCGGCGGGAAAAUUGCGGGGCUCAACCCCGACCAGCCGUCGGAACCGGGGGCCUUGAGUACCGGAGAAGUACGCGGAAUGCGUGGUGUAGCGGUGAAAUGCAUAGAUAUCACGCAGAACCCCGAGUGCGAAGGCAGCGUACCGGCCGGUCACUGACGCUGAGGCACGAAAGCGCGGGUAUCGAACAGGAUUAGAUACCCGAGUAGUC
rnacentral:rRNA from 1 species